UGAGGCAGGGAUUAGGGGAGGAAAAUACUGAGGCUGCGAAGAUACUUUUUGUGAUGAAUGGAAAUGGAAGUGUUGCAUUUGACGGAAGACGAGAAAUUCAUGUCCGCCGGACUCAUCAUUGCCAUUCAAGGAAGGAUGGCGUUCUUCGAUUCCUACUGAACUUUCGUAUUAUAUGCUGACUAUUUGGGGUCCGUACAUCACAGAUGCAAAACCAUCCAACAUCUAUUCUCCCAUCAACAUCAGCGGUGUUAUGCUGAAGUCUCGAGAUACCUGGUCAAAUAGGUAAUAAUAAUUCUGGUCUUUCUAUUUGAUGUCCAAACCUUUGAGACUUCCUGCUUGGAUGAGAUUAUUUGUUAUGAGAAAUGGGGUUAUGUAAAUGUUUGCCUCCCUUUUAAGGACAUGGGACAUGGGAGUGUGAGGUCUUACAUUCCCAUUAUUGGUUGGGGAGAGAACGAAACAUUUCUUAUAAGGGUGUGGAAAUCUCUCUCUAAUCGUGAGCCUGACUGCA